AGUGAACGCUGGCGGUAGGCCUAACACAUGCAAGUCGAACGGCAGCACAGUAAGAGCUUGCUCUUACGGGUGGCGAGUGGCGGACGGGUGAGGAAUACAUCGGAAUCUACUUUUUCUUGGGGGAUAACGUAGGGAAACUUACGCUAAUACCGCAUACGACCUACGGUUGAAAGCAGGGGAUCUUCGGACCUUGCGCGAUUGAAUGAGCCGAUGUCGGAUUAGCUAGUUGGCGGGGUAAAGGCCCACCAAGGCGACGAUCCGUAGCUGGUCUGAGAGGAUGAUCAGCCACACUGGAACUGAGACACGGUCGCGACUCCUCCGGGAGGAAGCAGUGGGGAAUAUUGGACCAAGGGCGCAAGCAUGAUCAAGCCAUACCGCGUGGGUGAAGAAGGCCUUCGGGUUGUAGAGCCCUUUUGUUGGGAAAGAAAAGCAGCAGGUUAAUACCCCGCUGUUCUGACGGUACCCAAAGAAUAAGCACCGGCUAACUUCGUG
rnacentral:rRNA from 1 species